rnacentral:tRNA from 1 species
GCCGAAGUGGCGGAAUUGGCAGACGCGCUAGAUUCAGGGUCUAGUGGGGCUUAGCUCUGUGGGGGUUCGAGUCCCCCCUUCGGCA